AUGUUCCCGAACACCUCCAGGGGAUUCCAGAAGGGCCACAAGAAGCACUUUCUGUUGUGUUUGCUCAUUAAAGGACUAAUUAAAAGAAGAACCAAUGAGACCAGACAUAAGGAGGGAAACUUAAGAAAAAAGAAAGAAGAAACAAGUCUUUUCCAAACUCUAUCAACCAGUGGUCAAAGAUAUGGUGAGUUAAUAUGUUUCUCCUGUUCCCCCCCCCCCACCAUUUCUGUCAAGCAUAAAAAAUAGACCAAUUUGUCACUGCGUCUGCAUAAUGUCAGGAUAAGAGUGUACUGUUCCCUUCCCUUAGCAGAGGUCACUCGAAAGAGUGUCUCCAAGAUUGUCUGAAGGAAAACAAAUGAGCAAGCCCAGAAAUUGGAGGCGAGGUGCUCUGCUGUGGCGGGGGAAAUGCCGAGAUGAUGACUUUUGGAAAAUUGCAUCGGGUUUAUCCAACACAGGACUGUUUUAAUCACUGCACCGGGGGACCUGCUUCAAGGACGGAUGGAUAAUGCAUGUUUCAGAGAGGCUGAUAGGGAGAUAGUGCGGAUCCUCAAACGUCUUGAACAGGCCAUUAAGUGAGCAAACGUCCUUGCACAUCUGCUUGGGGGUAUGGGACUCAGAAUUUCAAAGGAAACUUCAAGGUUCCCCUAUGGGCUCAAAGGAGCACUUGGGGAGGCAGACUCCAGCAAGACUCUGGAGAGAGAAAGGAGGCAUGUUCUUCUGCAAAGUCAAGCCCAGUCAGGGCGUAGCACCCCCUCACUGCCCACCCUUAUCCACUGGGAGUAACUGGAAGAUGGAUGACUGAUAUGCAGAUGAACAGAUACUCUGACACAUACAAUGACCUUGCUACAUUCUCAUCUCCAAACCUUCCAAAUCUUUCUUAUGGAACUGAGGUGCCAAGAGUUUAGGGAGACACAAGGGAUGGGGUGAAUUUAAUGGAAUGGGGAGAGGCUUUGGCAUUAAAUUAUCCAGGUUCAUAUCCCAGCUUUGUUCUGAAUUAUUUGUGCAACCUUGGGCACGUCACUUAAUCACUCCAGGUCUGGGUUUUGUCUUGCAAAGUAGGAAAAGGAGUUCCUAUCUGAUGACACUUGCG
rnacentral:lncRNA from 1 species